UUUCAAAUUCCAGCUAAACUCAUCACUAUUGCAUUCCAAGUAUUAUUCUUCCUUAUCUGAUUUAGGUACUCAAAAUGCGGGUAUAAAUAUUGCCACCCUGCAUCAUAUGUUCAUUCACAUUUUUUCUCUAAGCUUCUGAACCAUCGAAUUAAAACUACACAAAAAUGUUCAAAUUUGUCGUGUUGCUUUCAGCUGCUCUUGCCUUUGCUGCUUCUGCCAGCCUUAGGGUAAACCCUGAUGAACUCCACGUCAUCUGGGACACCAUCGAGAAGGACAUCCGAGUGCGUCAACAAGAAGCCGAGUU